GACGAAGGUGGCGAGCGUUGUUCGGAAUCACUGGGCAUAAAGCGCACGUAGGCGGUGUCGUAAGUCGGGUGUGAAAUCCCUCGGCCUAACCGAGGAACUGCGCCCGAUACUGCGAUGCUUGAGGACCAGAGGGGUGCAUGGAAUUUCCGGUGGAGCGGUGAAAUGCGUUGAUAUCGCUAGGAACUCCGGUGGCGAAGGCGAGACGCUGGACCCUUUCUGACACUGAGGCGCGAAAGCCAGGGGAGCGAACGGG
rnacentral:rRNA from 1 species